rnacentral:rRNA from 1 species
AGAGUUUGAUCAUGGCUCAGGACGAACGCUGGCGGCGUGCCUAAUACAUGCAAGUUGAGCGAUGAAGAUUGGUGCUUGCACCAAUUUGAAGAGCAGCGAACGGGUGAGUAACGCGUGGGGAAUCUGCCUUUGAGCGGGGGACAACAUUUGGAAACGAAUGCUAAUACCGCAUAACAACUUUAAACAUAAGUUUUAAGUUUGAAAGAUGCAAUUGCAUCACUCAAAGAUGAUCCCGCGUUGUAUUAGCUAGUUGGUGAGGUAAAGGCUCACCAAGGCGAUGAUACAUAGCCGACCUGAGAGGGUGAUCGGCCACAUUGGGACUGAGACACGGCCCAAACUCCUACGGGAGGCAGCAGUAGGGAAUCUUCGGCAAUGGACGAAAGUCUGACCGAGCAACGCCGCGUGAGUGAAGAAGGUUUUCGGAUCGUAAAACUCUGUUGGUAGAGAAGAACGUUGGUGAGAGUGGAAAGCUCAUCAAGUGACGGUAACUACCCAGAAAGGGACGGCUAACUACGUGCCAGCAGCCGCGGUAAUACGUAGGUCCCGAGCGUUGUCCGGAUUUAUUGGGCGUAAAGCGAGCGCAGGUGGUUUAUUAAGUCUGGUGUAAAAGGCAGUGGCUCAACCAUUGUAUGCAUUGGAAACUGGUAGACUUGAGUGCAGGAGAGGAGAGUGGAAUUCCAUGUGUAGCGGUGAAAUGCGUAGAUAUAUGGAGGAACACCGGUGGCGAAAGCGGCUCUCUGGCCUGUAACUGACACUGANGCUCGAAAGCGUGGGGAGCAAACAGGAUUAGAUACCCUGGUAGUCCACGCCGUAAACGAUGAGUGCUAGAUGUAGGGAGCUAUAAGUUCUCUGUAUCGCAGCUAACGC